CUUCCAAGGGGGUCUGGAGUCUAAUGAGGGGGGAUCUGGCAUCUUCCAAGGGGGUCUGGAGUCUAAUGAGGGGGUCUGGAGUCACUGAAUCAUGAAGAAGUC